GAUGAACGCUAGCGGCAGGCUUAACACAUGCAAGUCGAGGGGCAGCACGGGUAGCAAUACCUGGUGGCGACCGGCGCAAGGGUGCGUAACGCGUGAGCAACAUGCCCUAUACAGGGGGAUAAUCCAGGGAAACUUGGUCUAAUAUCCCAUAGUAUUUAGAGGAGGCAUCUUCUAUAAAUUAAAGCUUCGGUGGUAUAGGAUUGGCUCGCGUGACAUUAGCUAGAUGGUGAGGUAACGGCUCACCAUGGCAAUGAUGUCUAGGGGUUCUGAGAGGAAGGCCCCCCACACUGGGACUGAGACACGGCCCAGACUCCUACGGGAGGCAGCAGUGAGGAAUAUUGGACAAUGGAUGGAAAUCUGAUCCAGCCAUGCCGCGUGCAGGAAGACAGCCCUAUGGGUUGUAAAACUGCUUUUAUAUGGGAGCAAUAAGGUCUACGUGUAGACUGAUGAGAGUACCAUAUGAAUAAGC
rnacentral:rRNA from 1 species